AAUAUUUAACGACAUGUCCUUCCUGUUUAACCUCACCCAUCCUGCCUCUCCUUCAAAGCACAGACUUCCACCUUCAGAUCUGACUGAAGGAUCUGCUCAUUAACUCGCAGGAAGACCAUUAGAAACGGCUGGAAAGUUACCAUUAACGCACAGAUGAUCCCUGAGGUGCCGAGCGCUCCGCAGCUGAAGGAAUAUAUGCAUCAAAAUUAUCUAUUAAUUAUGUGAAGGCUAUAUUUCCAUUUAAAUCAUGAAAGAUUAGAUGUGUUGAUUGGACUGUUAAGAGCAGGAGAAGAGGGAAGGAACAAAACUGUGGGAUUAAAAAGAAAGAUGAGGCUCAUGAAGAUGGAAAACAUACAAACGUCAUAUUUCCUGGGUGCUCAGGACUGCAGGUAUAUCACAAGAUCUUGACCAAAAAAACCCACUGCAAGCUUCAACUGAUCCCAAAGGUGCUGGACUGUGUGGAGGUAACCUUGCAAGGCAGAUGGACUGUGUGGAGAUCACACUAGAAUCCAAAGCGGAAGUUGAACACUACAGACGGCGACACAGAAACUCCAUGUCCAAAAAAUGACACGAAGGCUACGGCCGCAGUCAGAUCGCAUCGUAACACCUCAAUUCCUCCACGUGUGAUGGAAGGAAGUUGUCGGAGCUUCAGAAAUGCAAGCAGAACAAGAAGAAGAAGACAAAAAGGGAGAAAAAAUACAAGGUCCAAAUAUAGCUUUUUGUUCACAUGGAAACCACCCGAACAAGACGGAGAGGAGAGGAAGCCACAGUGAGAGCGAGGAAGAAAGGAGUGGCAAGGAGAAUAAAAGAGAUAAAGAGAGAAGAAGAGAAAGAAAGAGGAAGAUCUGUUUAAUAUUGUGAUGUUUGUAGUUUUAUCUGUUUGAUUUUGAUUUGUUUCAUCUGAAACUUUCUAAGCGGCUAUCUUCGCCGUUGACACUCUGAUACACUGUAAAAAAUGUUUUAUGG